UAUCUAGAGAGGUGGAGGGACUGGCCCUACGAAGCCUCGGCAACAGACUUAGCAUUGAAGUACUGUGCCAAUUCCAGCAAGCUAGCAUGUUAGCUUGAAAGAUA
rnacentral:ncRNA from 1 species